rnacentral:tRNA from 1 species
GAGACACUAGUAAAAUAGCCAUUACACCACCUUGUCAAGGUGGAGUUGUAGGUUAAACUCCUGCGUGUCUCA